CUGCCCGCGCCGGGCCCUUCCUGCCGGCCGCGGGCUGCGGCCCGCCCGCCCCGCCUCGGCGCGGCCCCCCGAGGCGGGGCGGCGCGGGGAGCGCGGCCACGCGGGCGGCGCGGCGCGGGGUGGGGGCAACGGCCGUCCGGCCGCUCGGCUGCCGUCGCCCCUCGGCUCGGCCCCCCGCGCCCCGCCGCUGACUCACCCGCCGCAGGGCCGGCCCCGGGCCCGCUCGCUUUCCGCCUGCUUCUGAGGGCGCCGCGCGGAGCGCUAAAUUUAGAGCGUUCGGCUGGAGUUACACAAGGCUCCUACAGAAUCCCGAAGCCUACCUUAGCGCAGCGCUCGGCCGGCUGGUGACGGUCGCCGUCCGACCCGCGGCGGAGCUCCCCGCCGGAACGGCGUUCGACAGAAACGGGCGCGAUGGGCGGCAUCGUUCAGAACGAAGGAAGCGACGGCCCAAUAUACGGCAGACCUCCUCCGUUACUCGGCUUCGUGCCCGCGCGCAGCCCCCGUGCUCCCGCUCCACGUAUCCCUUGCGUCAGGCACAGCGUGCAGCCUCUCUCACCCCCUUCCCGCAAAGCCCGCCCGCCGCCUCCCUCGCAGCCCCGCGUCGCAGGGGUGGUGGUGGGGGCGUGGGAGGGCUGCCGCCUGCACGGGCUUCAGCAGAGAGGGAAACCACAUCUGGCAUCCCAAAUCUGGGAUGCUGCCCCGAGCCGCUGCUUUUGCUCUCGGCGGGGCGCUGAGGAAAGGUACGAGCAAAAACUGUCGUGCGAAGGAGAAGGAAGGAGGAGAGCACCGAGCGUGGCGGUGACGGCUUGGCAUACCUGAGCUUCUGCACCGCGCUGAGGCAGCGGCCAAGCAGCGACGUGAAACAGCUCGUGGCAGAGGAGACAGAGCAGUUCUGGCCACGGGGUUCCUCCAGCCCGACAGCUCUUGCCGGUUUUGCCACGCUAUGACAUGCUCACAGCUCCCCCGGCAGGUACUGCCGUACAGCGCUGCCCUGGGCACUCUGCAAGCACACUCUGCUUUUUGCCUGGACUUCCCCCGCACAGCACGGCUGUCUGCCGGCUAACUCUCGGCGGAGCACUUCUCCAGUACUUCUCCAAGUCAGCUGCCACCAAGGCCGUGUCACUUUCUGACCGUAGAACGCUGCUGCCGGCACAGUGGUUCGUGGAUAUUGUAGCCGCUGCGAAAGUACGCCUCGUCUUUUGAUAGCUGCUUAGUAUUGCUGCGUGUAAUGCAGAAUGCAACUUUCUACAAAUGCAGUUAGACAGCAACCGGUGAUGCUGACACACAUGACUUCCUUCACGCACCAGCGAUCACCUCAUUUGCCUUCUGUUCAUCAAUACAUACUUGCCAGGAAAACACUCCGAGCCUUCUCCGAGCAGCUUCGAACCAGCAAUGAUCACAUAUGCAUCAGCAAGACUGCACGACCACAGACAUUACUAGCAACAGCCUUAUGGCAAUCAGGCAUUCUGAUGAAAUGAAAGCAGCGAAAAGCAUUCUUCUAGAAAACUGGACAGACAGAUGACCACGUCUGGCCUGUUAAUGCACCAAGACUCCCAGCCUCUCAUAUGUGCUUGUUUUAUCAGGUUUCACACUUGUCAGGUUUUGCCUAUAUAGAUGACUGUGUUGUUCACCCCACAGAGACAGAGCUCUCAGUAGAGGUCUAAGGAAAAACUCCACACCAGCAAUGCAGCAAGAUGUUAUUUUUCAGAAACUGUUACCCUCAGCAAACUUCUGUAGCUCACACUGUACAUUCUGAGGCACACAGGGAACUGGAUGGACCGUCACAGAACUGCAUCUCUACACAAACAGAUGCGAAAACAGCAUAUUACAGCAUGCAGUCGGACAAAGUGUUGCACUCUACUUGUACCAUCCUUCUCAAAUCCAGGCUAGCUGGAGACAGUACUUACAAUCAGUAUUUAUGCAUAGCUUUUAAUACUGUCAGACUAGAAUUUAGAUGUCUCGGACCAGGUUUAAACACACCUUGGAAGAGCUGUUCCUGCAGACCUCCAAACAGUUACAGCAAUCACCCUUAUGGAUUCAGAAGGCUUCCUCAUUCAUUUGGAGGGAAAAAAAAUGAAACAGCACAAAGGAGUCAAUAAGGAACUGAACAGGAGAAGUCUUCCAGUUUAGGAACGAUUCAGGUAGACACCUGGGCUGCUUCUAGACCUUAAAGGAUUCAGUUCACUCCAGCUUUUAUUUAAUCUUCAGGAAUAAAAGACUGGGGAAGUGACAAAUUCUACAAGACAUUAUCAGCAACAGUAACUUAAAUAUGCACUGAAAGCUGAGCGCUGUAAGAAUAAAGCCUACAUGCUUAAAAGUCAUCACUGAAAAGAAGAAGAUAAUCAGAUACAGAGCUCCCUCAGAAGCAUAAAUCAGUAAAACUCAUUUUUGCCCCUAUUAGUCAGAAGGACUGAAGCACAUACUUUGUAUUACAAAGAUUCAAGCUCCUUUUUGGAAUGGAAAACAUUUGUCCCAGUUAUAUAAGUGCAGCCUGGUAUGUGGAUUACUUCUAAAUCCAUGCAUUUUAUGCAUGACUAUCUGGAUACGACAAAAGAAAGUGGGUGACUUCCUAGCAAUUGAACACAGAUACAGAGCUUCUGCUGGUUAGUAUUUGGGGACUUGGCUGCUAAACACUGUGACAAUACUUGAGCUUUACUGCAAUUCAGAUACUCCAUUUAAGAAAGGAAAAAGACUAGUUGCAACUCCGAUCCAAGCGAGGUGCAAGAUUUUAAUUAAACUGGAAAAAUGUGAAACA